rnacentral:rRNA from 1 species
UAGCGGCGGACGGGUGAGUAAUGCUUAGGAAUCUGCCUAUUAGUGGGGGACAACAUCUCGAAAGGUGGUCGAUGCUAAUACCGCAUACGUCCUACGGGAGAAAGCAGGGGACCUUCGGGCCUUGCGCUAAUAGAUGAGCCUAAGUCGGAUUAGCUAGUUGGUGGGGUAAAGGCCUACCAAGGCGACGAUCUGUAGCGGGUCUGAGAGGAUGAUCCGCCACACUGGGACUGAGACACGGCCCAGAGUUCUACGGGAGGCAGCAGUGGGGAAUAUUGGACAAUGGGGGGAACCCUGAUCCAGCCAUGCCGCGUGUGUGAAGAAGGCCUUUUGGUUGUAAAGCACUUUAAGCGAGGAGGAGGCUACCGAGAUUAAUACUCUUGGAUAGUGGACGUUACUCGCAGAAUAAGCACCGGCUAACUCUGUGCCAGCAGCCGCGGUAAUACAGAGGGUGCAAGCGUUAAUCGGAUUUACUGGGCGUAAAGCGCGCGUAGGUGGCCAAUUAUCUCAAAUGUGAAAUCCCCGAGCUUAACUUGGGAAUUGCAUUCGAUACUGGUUGGCUAGAGUAUGGGAGAGGAUGGUAGAAUUCCAGGUGUAGCGGUGAAAUGCGUAGAGAUCUGGAGGAAUACCGAUGGCGAAGGCAGCCAUCUGGCCUAAUACUGACACUGAGGUGCGAAAGCAUGGGGAGCAAACAGGAUUAGAUACCCUGGUAGUCCAUGCCGUAAACGAUGUCUACUAGCCGUUGGGGCCUUUGAGGCUUUAGUGGCGCAGCUAACGCGAUAAGUAGACCGCCUGGGGAGUACGGUCGCAAGACUAAAACUCAAAUGAAUUGACGGGGGCCCGCACAAGCGGUGGAGCAUGUGGUUUAAUUCGAUGCAACGCGAAGAACCUUACCUGGUCUUGACAUAGUAAGAACUUUCCCUUGAUGGAUUGGUGCCUUCGGGAACUUACAUACAGGUGCUGCAUGGCUGUCGUCAGCUCGUGUCGUGAGAUGUUGGGUUAAGUCCCGCAACGAGCGCAACCCUUUUCGGUAUUUGCCAGCGGGUUAAGCCGGGAACUUUAAGGAUACUGCCAGUGACAAACUGGAGGAAGGCGGGGACGACGUCAAGUCAUCAUGCUUGGA